CAGGAGGCAGAACAAGGGCUGACACAUGGAUUAGCACUGUUCUGGCAGGUGCUGAUUUGGUGACAGGGGCUGAUAUGCCAAGUCCAGCAUUCUUCCUUUUUGUGAACCUUGCCAUUUCGCUUUCCCUUCCAGCUCCUUCAAUCGCUGAAAGCCAAAGGACCAAUGGAGGAAACCCAGCAUGUCUUUUCUUAGUAAGACUAACACAGAAAAUGGGUCGGAUUUCUAGCGUAUAUCCAGAAGAAUGGCUCUUCAGAGGCUGAACUCUGCAACCCUUAAAGGCAAUGGCUAUGUUAAGCAGCCCCUAAGGAUGGCGAGAGAUCACCUUCGUUUUAAAAGCACCUCUACAGAGAAUGUCAAAGCAAGCUAAAGGGAAGCAGCUGUUACUGUUCUCCCCCUGUUGUAGGGUGCAUCUAGCCCCACGGUAAGCCAGAACUGCCUGACGCCACUGAGGUGAUCUGCUGAUGCACAGCGUGGAGUUGCAUCUGUCAGGCUGUUCCUGUUACCCUGGUUGCUUUGUGCCCUGCUCCCCAGGGGCUGCAGAAAGUGAUUCCCCUGUCUGGGAAGGAGCAAGAGUUCCUGAAGAGCUGCAGUUACUUGCCUUGCACUGUUGUGACCCUCAGGGCAGAGCAGAUGGUUUGGAGAAGGAAUGGGCUGCCCUUCUUCAGGACUGGAGCCCCUGCUAACAAGGGAGCACACUUCAGCCUCCUGCAGCAGAGACUGCCCUGUGCACAGUGUCCUCUCCCAGAUUUCACUGCGAAGGUGAGCUUCUUCAGUCUCUCCAGCACUACAAAAGGGCUGAGAAGCCAGUUUAAUCGGCCUCCAGAGAAUUUCUAAGCCUGGCAGAGCAGUUAGAGCCAAUUGGGUUCCACCUUUCUUGCCCCUGUGUAGUGACUAGGGCUGAGGAAAAGGGACCCUGGGUGUUUUUCACUGUGCGGCAGCAAUCGCUGACUGAGGGCGCACAUGUUUAUGCGCAGGCUGCUGAGACAUCAGCUCACCUGGCAGCUGCUCUGAGUUGCACAGGGAAGCCAGCGGGCUGCUUUCACAGUGGGGAAAGGUGAUAUUCAGAGGCAGGGACUUGAGAUCACCUCCUUCUGGGGUCACCCAACUACUGAACUCUGCAGAAGCUGGA
rnacentral:lncRNA from 1 species